AAAGAUAUAGCAUAUUCUUCUGAUAUUACUUUAUUAACCCAUUCCGAGUACCUUACCCGUUGCUUCCGCGAGGCUGUCCUCACGGCCCUCUGAAGAUUUAUCUUUGGGGAGUCCUUGCGGAAGGUAUACCAAUAAACUCUUGCAUUACCAUGUCAUCUGUCUGAAUUCUGUUUAAAACAAAUAUUA
rnacentral:misc_RNA from 1 species